rnacentral:lncRNA from 7 species
AUUUGCUUUCAGAUUUGAAGCCUCAAGGUGUAUUCACAACAUAUUUCAAUCAAAAAUCUAAGCCUCAAUUCAAUGGAAACUGAGAGUACUCAUGACAGGGAUGACUAUGUACUUGUUAUAAUGUACUGCACUUAUCACUCCAGUCAACAACCACUGAAAAUGGGACAGCAGGCAAAGUAGACCCUUGGAAUGACCAAACAAAGCAAUGCUUUUGAAACUUCACAAAUAAAUAAAUAAAUCUACCUCCAAAACAAAUUGGAGAAGAAAUCUUCUUGGACGCUGAAUAUUUAGUGUUGUAGUGCAGUCCCUCAAAUUAAUUGGAGAACAAAAAAAAAAAAAAUUUACUACAUGUAAUUAAAACCUUUCUGAUAUUGCUGAAAUAUUUGAAAUAUUUGUAUAGAAAGUUAAUGUUUGUACCAGAGGUGGUUAAAACUACUUCUGCUGAGAAGUGACAUGUUUAAUUAUAUUUUGGAGACAUUAUGUUAAAGACUGGAUGGUGCUCAAAUGGAAGGAGUGAUAUUUUACUACACAAAGACUGUGGGAGGCAUCUGACCUUUAGAUAUCUAGGGGGAAAAGAAGUUGUAAAACAUGGAGAAUUGAAUAGACUGUUUUCUACUCUUGAGUGAAGAAUUAUCAGCAAAAGACUCUUGUCGCAGAACCAGUGUUAAGACCUCAGAAACCCAGCUGGUAGAAGAGUUUAAAAAAAAAAAAAAAAGUUGCUUAAAGCAGGUACUCUUCUUUAAGAAAGCACUCUAAUCUACAAGUGUCUCUCUAGAUAUAGAGAAAAUUUAGACAUUAUCUCAAAUUAAAGUUCACUUAUGGGGUAAACCUCUGUGAGUGUUCUUUUAUUAUUAUUAUUAUUAUUUUUAACAUAGAAGAUAUUUUUAAUAUUAAACAAAAAUAAAACUAUUUGUUUCAUUAUUUGUCAAAAAUGUCACCAGGAAUCAUGGAUCUUGGUAGUGAGAACUGGAUUAUAAAAGUUAAGGAUUUCCAUUCUGUAAAUCUUUAGGUAACAAAUUCUUACUGCAAUAACUCUUUGAAAAGUCUCAUAGGGGGAAGUUGCCAUGGAGACCAAAAAAAGUUCAUUUUUAUUCAUGAGUAAUUGUAAAGGAGGGAUAGGCCUAAUUAAAGCUGUUUCAGCCCUAUUUAUCCAUAAAUUUCUAUAUAAAAAGAUCUUGCCUCAAGUGAAGUCCAUUUCUCAGAAGUGUACUGUGUUUUCCAUUCACUCCAGAGAAGUAUUCUGUAGUUUUCCAUGACAGUAGUGACUACUAAACAUUCUAAAUUAAUGAUUUAAUCCUUGCUGUGUAAUUGCUGGGGGUGGGAAGUGGAGAGGGGGAAGACAUUGUUCCCCCUGCAACUUGUGGCCUUCAGGCUCAACACUGUCUCUGAAAAUACUAGAGAGAAUAUAUACCACACAGUAGGUACUAAAAUAGAUCAUAUAAAUGAAAAGAAUGAGAAAAAGGUAUUUCUGCUUUCUUUUUGUGUAACUGCAUGUGAAAAAAAUAUCAUCUUAGGAUUGACAUGUACUGUAUUACAAAUUACUGAAAUAAUUAAUGCUUCAGUUUUCUGGAUUUAUCUAUAGCUUUCUUAAGGCUCUGCUCAUUCUGUCUGAGUAAACUAGUGUUAGUUCCAGGCUUUUUCUUUAUCCAAGCUGUUUCCAGCCUCCAAUCUCAUUGCCCUCUUCAAUCCAGUGUCAGAAUAUAAAUAUGUCAGCUCAUUUUACAUUGAAUGAAUAAUCUGAAUGAAUAUUAUUCCUCUGUUUCAGUUACUAUAUUGUGCAAUUGGAUAUUUCAUUAAGCAUUUCAAGAUAUGUGCUGUCCUUUUGCUUGACAUAUUCACUGUUUUUUUGUUUGGUUUUUUUUUCCAUCAGCUUCAUAUUUUAUUGUCACAUGAACAGGUGCAUUAUGUAUUUGACCUUAUUGUACCACUUGGAUAUAUAUUCAGCUAUGUUUUUUUCUUCAAAUAAAAUCCUACAGCUCAGAUAUGUCUGAGU